AAGAGGGGGAGAAUGUCUGGGAGAGAAGGAGGAGGGAGGCGACUUGGGCACAGGAGGAGACCACCUGGAAGAAUCUGGCAUGAGGUGCCAAGAGUCCCCUUGAUGCUUGAAGUUUGACUUUGUAACUGCUUCCUGCACUUGGCCUGUGGAAGAUAAGCAUUCUUUCCGAAAAUGAUAUUCGUGUCACCCCAGAAGACAUGUUAAAGCAGUACAAGGCAUUAUAUUUAACAUAUUUAAUGAAGUGUUGCCUUCAAAUGAUAUUGAAAUAUGACUUCUGUUCCACAUGCGUAGAGUUUCUAUUCAGUGGUGAUUUGAAGAGAGGAAUCUUUUUUUCUCAGGGACAUUAAGGAAUGAAAACCUAACCAACUUGGCAUUUUUUUCUGCCUCAUCUGUUUCUUUUUAACAGAAAAGUACCAUUCAGUAACCUCAAAAUUUCUUUUUCUUUGCAUCUCAGUAGUGUACUGACAAUUACAACAAAAUAUGCCUGUUUAGCAAGCAGGAAAAAAAUAGUUCUUAAAAUAGAAAGGACAAUUCAUAAGCAUUCUGCAGAAGAGAGCCAUUGUUGGGCAUUUGAAGACUGUACAAAAGUAUUUAAGUAAAAGCACAUUCCUGAGAUGCAAAGUAAAUAAACCACUUCUAAGCAAAUAGUAACUCAGGAAAAAAAGGUAAAAUACAUCUAAUAAAAAUGUUAGUUAAAAUCUCAAGAAAACUAGAUAGGAAUGGUCUGAAGAGUUUUGCUCUAUUCAAGCUGAUCUCUGGUCAGACUUUCACCCAGUUGGUACUCUAAAGCCAGUGGUUUGCUGAAGCUGAAUGUAGGUGUUUUGGGAUGAAAUCUACUAUUAAUAUAAUAUUGUUGUCAAACCAAUGUAAAAUAAAUUAUCAAACAACACCCAUAGGUAGAAACACUAGGAACGAUAUAAUACUCAUACAGUGUGGUAUUGUAAGUGAUAAUUACAGAGACUUAGAGUAAGUACACGGAGGGAGAGACAAUCCUAAAGACAUCCAAUAACAAAGACACUGAACUGUAAUAAUUUUCAACUUCUAUAUUGUCUGGGUAGAGUAAAGUUAAAAAAAAAAAUUGCCAUAUUUCUAUUAUUUUUGUUUUCAAUUGAGGAAAACCUUUGGCUGUAUUAAACUAUGCAUGAAUGAUUGACUGCAUGUUAAUACACAGUCACACAAGCAAAUACCAUUGGCAUGCAGAACUGACGAAUUUAUGUAAAGAAACACUGAAAAUAUUUAUUGUUACAUUUAUUACUAAAUGUGUAAGAGAUAUAGAGUAAUACCAACUAUUUUAACCCCUUUUAUAAUUAGUUACACCUGCUAAGGUAUUAAAAUCUAUUACUACUGAUGGAUAUUGACAAUCAUAAAUAUGGUUGAAUUCAGCCUAUAUAAAUAUUUUCAUUAUUGUCCUUAGUUUAAAUAGAGGCUGUGAGUUAAACUUUUAUAUGGGGAAGGUGUCUCAAUAUUUAGGUUAAAUGCAAAACAUCGAAGCAUGUGAUAUAAGUCAGUAACUUUCUAAUGCGAUCCUUAGUACUAUACAACAAAUGCUAGUCAUGUCUAAUGUUUUCAGCUUUCCACUGUUUCAUCCUUUAUUGAAAACAGAUCACUAGCCACUUGUUUUUUAUGCAUGGGUGGCAUGAGUGUUGACACAGUUGAAUCUUGUUAGAUGAGUUUUUUCUUUGUAGUGGACUGCAUGUUUCUCUUUUGUAAUAAUAAAUGUGAACUUAAGCAAGCAUUUGAAA
rnacentral:lncRNA from 7 species